CACGGAGUUAGCCGAUGCUUUUUCUUCAGGUACUCGCAAAGCGCCACACGUGGCGCCCUUUGCUCCCUGACAAAAGAGGUUUACAAUCCAUAGGACCGUCAUCCCUCACGCGACUUGGCUGGUUCAGCCCUGCGGCCAUUGACCAAUAUUCCUCACUGCUGCCUCCCGUAGGAGUCUGGUCCGUGUCUCAGUACCAGUGUGGGGGACCUUCCUCUCAGAACCCCUACGCAUCGUCGCCUUGGUGGGCCGUUACCCCGCCAACAAGCUAAUGCGACGCAUGACCAUCCGUAGCCGGAAUCGCUUCCUUUAAACCCACGGAGAUGCCUCCAUGGGUUGUUACGCGGUAUUAGACGGAAUUUCUUCCGCUUAUCCCCCUGCUACGGGCAGGUUUCAUACGUGUUACUCACCCGUGCGCCGGUCGCCGGCGGGAGUAUUGCUACUCCCCCGCUGCCCCUCGACUUGCAUGUGUUAAGCCUGUCGCUAGCGUUCAUCCUGAGCCAGGAUCAAACUCU
rnacentral:rRNA from 1 species